rnacentral:ncRNA from 1 species
CCGAGUCCCGACGCACUCCCCCCGGCGCCGGGACUCUCCCCGAGCCGGACUUCGGCGCCCCUCCCCCCGGGCGCCGGGGUCCGGCUCCCUC